UUAUGAAUCUAUAUAUAUAAAAAUCAAUUGCUGUUCCUUUGUCUCGCUAAAACUCGAGAACGGCUGAACGGAUUUAUCUUAUCUUGGUCUUGAAUUAUUCGUGGAGGUCUAGGGAAGGUUUAAAAGGUGAGAAAAUAUCAAAUAAUUGACGGAAAUGCCCUAAAAACAGCCCUUUUCUUUAUCCCAUACAAACGUUUUCUAACUAAUACGUAGAGUCAAUUUGAGCUUUAUUGCUAUUGGAUAAAGUUCAUUGUUGGAUAAAUGCUAUUGGAUACUAAAAAACAAAUGCUAUUGAAUAAGACUUGGAGCACAGAAUCCCUACUAAUAUUAUAAAUGCGAAAGUAACUCUGUCUGUCUGUAAUUACGCUUUCAAGCCUAAACCAGUGAACCGAUUUUGAUGGAAUUUAGUACUGAGAUAGAAUAGACCUUGAUACUUUUUAUUGCAAAAAAAAAAUAGCGGAGAAAAAUAGUGGGUAAAAAUAAGGGAUAAAUGGUCAUAUGGAAAUUCGUCUUUUUAAAAGCUGUAACAGUAAAACUUUGUAUUUAGAUACUUAAUGAGGAACGAAAGAACAUGGUCUACUUUUUAUUGCAAAAAAAUAGGGAGAGUGGGUAAAAAUAGGGGAUGAAUGGUCAUAUGGAAAUUCGUCAUUUUUAAAGCUGUAACAGUGAAAUUUUGUAUUUAGACACUUAAUGAGGAGCGAAAGAACAUAGGCUACUUUUUAAUAAAAAGGGUAGAAGGCGUAGAAUGCUUGAUAGAGGAGAUUAAUGUUUGCUUGAAAAUUCGUCAUUUUCGUAAAUACGUUGCCUGUGGCGUUGCUCGCGUUCGAUUCUUAUUUAAAUACACAUAUACUUAUUUACAUCGCCAAUAUCCCUACUACCAUACUAAUGUUAUGAAUGCGAAAGUGAUCCUGUUUGUGUUGAGGUUACGCUUGCACGAAUGUUUUUUUUUUUUGGAAUAUAACAACGAAACAAUGUAUUUUUUUUAUUGAUAGGCAAUAUAUAGAAAAUUAAAGGAUAAUAAUAUAGAUAACCUUGGCUACUUUUCAUCAUGAUUAUAAAAUGAUGAAUCGGCGGUCGUGGUUUCUUUGGAAUACAUAUCUUUAAAAAUGCUAACAGUAACAUAUUCUCAAGUAAUUCACAUUUUAGAUGACAUACGGUAGCAUUUUAACCACUAACACCACUACGCGGACGAAGUCGCGGGCAAAAGCUAGAUUCGAUAAAUUUUCAUUUGUACAUGUCAAAUAUUUGUUGUUUCUAAAUUCAAAUUCUGUAAAUAAUGAUUGACAUUUAUGCAUAAACUAUGAAAAGGGUGAAUAAACAAUUGUCUGUAUUUUUUUUAAUCUAUUGAAAAUGUUGAAAAGUGCAUUAAGCAUUAAUAGAAAUUCCUCAAAUAUUAAUUAUGCGUGCGUUCAUAAAUAAUGACAAAUUAUCAACAGUUACGCGUGUGUUCAGAAAUUUAUUUUGUGUAAAUUAAAGUUUCUAUUUACGUUUCCGAACAAACGAUGCUCUUUCAAUAUAGUCUAUUGGUGUGAAUGACAUUUACAUUCGUAUUGCGCGUUUUUUAAAAUAUGCAAAAUUAAAUGUAUAUUUUUCAAUAUUUCUGAGAGAUUAUCUUAAUAUUUCUUCGAGUUUUAAAGACUAAGAAGAUUUUUAUUUGCUAAUAAGUGUGUGUUAAUCAAGUUGGAAUUUCGUUUUUAACAAUGCUACCAACCAGACGUACAAGCUUAGGCCGCAGAACUCGAAAUACGGCAAGUCAAAGAAAUAUAAGAGCAAAUCAAACUGAUGAGCAUCGCGAAGCGCGAAAUGAACUUAAACUGAAUCGAUAUCAAGAUAGAAAUGUUGUGUUUAAUCCCCACAAAGCUGCAUUCAGUUAUAAUGUGGCAAUUGAUUACAGUUCAGAGCAAAUUGUUGCUAUUGGACUAAUGAACAUUGUGUGUCCACAUUGGGAUUGAAAUUAAAAAAUUAAGCCUCUGGAUUGUGUUGCGCCAGCGGCCAAGUCAAAUUGACGCCAUUGGUACCGCCACCAGAGCCACUACAUUCAUUGGUUCAUUUUUUGACUCAUAACCAGCAGUACAAUAAUUGCUUUCAAAUGGCAUAAUUUGGGGCAACAAAAGUUAUAAGAGACAAUUUUUUGCCUACUUUUAGCAAAUUCAGGGAUUCAAAUAUAUCAUCAAACAGGUUCCUUAUUGCCAGUGCCUGUUGAAGACUAUACAUUUUUGCAAAUAUAUUUUAUGGACAAUUCAGCAAGAGAAGUCGAUCAGCGUUGCGCACACAACAACUCAGUAAAGAGAUCCAUUGUGAUGAACAACUUCAAACAUUUUUCCUUCAACACAAUGAAUUAGUUGCAUUAGACCGAUGCAUUAGACAUUCACAAAUGCAUUAGACCGCAUGCCAUCAGAUAAUCACAAAAUUGUCAUCAGAGCCGAUAAGGCGCCUGCAGGACAGUGAAAUGAUUGAA